rnacentral:ncRNA from 1 species
CACAGGUUUGGUCCUGGCCUUUCUAUUAAUUCUUAAUAAAAUUACACAUGCAAGUAUCCGCGCCCCGGUGAGAAUGCCCUCCAGAUCCUAAAGAUCAAAAGGAGCAGGUAUCAAGCACACCUAUAACGGUAGCUCAUAACGCCUUGCUCAACCACACCCCCACGGGAAACAGCAGUGAUAAAAAUUAAGCCAUGAACGAAAGUUUGACUAAGUUAUAUUAAUUAGAGUUGGUAAAUCUCGUGCCAGCCACCGCGGUCAUACGAUUAACCCAAAUUAAUAGAUCCACGGCGUAAAGAGUGUUUAAGAAAAAAAAACCACAAUAGAGUUAAAUUAUAACUAAGCUGUAAAAAGCCCUAGUUAAAAUAAAAUAACCCACGAAAGUGACUCUAAUAAUCCUGACACACGAUAGCUAGGACCCAAACUGGGAUUAGAUACCCCACUAUGCCUAGCCCUAAACCCAAAUAGUUACAUAACAAAACUAUUCGCCAGAGUACUACUCGCAACUGCCUAAAACUCAAAGGACUUGGCGGUGCUUCACAUCCACCUAGAGGAGCCUGUUCUAUAAUCGAUAAACCCCGAUAGACCUUACCAACCCUUGCCAAUUCAGCCUAUAUACCGCCAUCUUCAGCAAACCCUAAAAAGGAACAAUAGUAAGCACAAUCAUAACACAUAAAAACGUUAGGUCAAGGUGUAGCUUAUGGGUUGGAAAGAAAUGGGCUACAUUUUCUACAUAAGAACACCCACCAUACGAAAGUUUUUAUGAAACUAAAAACCAAAGGAGGAUUUAGCAGUAAAUCAAGAAUAGAGUGCUUGAUUGAAUAAGGCCAUGAAGCACGCACACACCGCCCGUCACCCUCCUCAAGCAUGUAGUAAUAAAAAUAACCUAUAUUCAAUUACACAACCAUGCAAGAAGAGACAAGUCGUAACAAGGUAAGCAUACUGGAAAGUGUGCUUGGAUUAC